GAUGAACGCUAGCGGCGUGCCUAAUACAUGCAAGUCGAGCGAACGGACGAGAAGCUUGCUUCUCUGAUGUUAGCGGCGGACGGGUGAGUAACACGUGGAUAACCUACCUAUAAGACUGGGAUAACUUCGGGAAACCGGAGCUAAUACCGGAUAAUAUUUUGAACCGCAUGGUUCAAAAGUGAAAGACGGUCUUGCUGUCACUUAUAGAUGGAUCCGCGCUGCAUUAGCUAGUUGGUAAGGUAACGGCUUACCAAGGCAACGAUGCAUAGCCGACCUGAGAGGGUGAUCGGCCACACUGGAACUGAGACACGGUCCAGACUCCUACGGGAGGCAGCAGUAGGGAAUCUUCCGCAAUGGGCGAAAGCCUGACGGAGCAACGCCGCGUGAGUGAUGAAGGUCUUCGGAUCGUAAAACUCUGUUAUUAGGGAAGAACAUAUGUGUAAGUAACUGUGCACAUCUUGACGGUACCUAAUCAGAAAGCCACGGCUAACUACGUGCCAGCAGCCGCGGUAAUACGUAGGUGGCAAGCGUUAUCCGGAAUUAUUGGGCGUAAAGCGCGCGUAGGCGGUUUUUUAAGUCUGAUGUGAAAGCCCACGGCUCAACCGUGGAGGGUCAUUGGAAACUGGAAAACUUGAGUGCAGAAGAGGAAAGUGGAAUUCCAUGUGUAGCGGUGAAAUGCGCAGAGAUAUGGAGGAACACCAGUGGCGAAGGCGACUUUCUGGUCUGUAACUGACGCUGAUGUGCGAAAGCGUGGGGAUCAAACAGGAUUAGAUACCCUGGUAGUCCACGCCGUAAACGAUGAGUGCUAAGUGUUAGGGGGUUUCCGCCCCUUAGUGCUGCAGCUAACGCAUUAAGCACUCCGCCUGGGGAGUACGACCGCAAGGUUGAAACUCAAAGGAAUUGACGGGGACCCGCACAAGCGGUGGAGCAUGUGGUUUAAUUCGAAGCAACGCGAAGAACCUUACCAAAUCUUGACAUCCUUUGACAACUCUAGAGAUAGAGCCUUCCCCUUCGGGGGACAAAGUGACAGGUGGUGCAUGGUUGUCGUCAGCUCGUGUCGUGAGAUGUUGGGUUAAGUCCCGCAACGAGCGCAACCCUUAAGCUUAGUUGCCAUCAUUAAGUUGGGCACUCUAAGUUGACUGCCGGUGACAAACCGGAGGAAGGUGGGGAUGACGUCAAAUCAUCAUGCCCCUUAUGAUUUGGGCUACACACGUGCUACAAUGGACAAUACAAAGGGCAGCGAAACCGCGAGGUCAAGCAAAUCCCAUAAAGUUGUUCUCAGUUCGGAUUGUAGUCUGCAACUCGACUACAUGAAGCUGGAAUCGCUAGUAAUCGUAGAUCAGCAUGCUACGGUGAAUACGUUCCCGGGUCU
rnacentral:rRNA from 1 species